UGCUGCAUGGCUGUCGUCAGCUCGUGUCGUGAGAUGUUGGGUUAAGUCCCGCAACGAGCGCCAACCCCUAUCUUUAGUUGCCAUCAUUGAGUUGGGCACUCUAAAGAGACUGGCCGGUGUCAAACCGGAGGAAGGGUGGGGAUGACGUCAAGUCCUCAUGGUCCUUUAUGACCGAGGGCUACACACGUACUACAAUGGGCCGGUAACGAAAGGGCAGCGACACAGCGAUGUGAAGCGAACUCCCGAAAAGCCGGUCUCAGUCCGGAUUGGAGUCUGCAACUCGACUCCAUGAAGUUGGAAUCGCUAGUAAUCGCGGAUCAGCACGCCGCGGUGAAUACGUUCCCGGGCCUU
rnacentral:rRNA from 1 species